CCUACGGGUGGCUGCAGUGAGGAAUAUUGGUCAAUGGGCGUAAGCCUGAACCAGCCAAGUCGCGUGAGGGAUGAAGGUUCUAUGGAUCGUAAACCUCUUUUAUAAGGGAAUAAAGUGUGGGACGUGUCCUAUUUUGUAUGUACCUUAUGAAUAAGGAUCGGCUAACUCCGUGCCAGCAGCCGCGGUAAUACGGAGGAUCCGAGCGUUAUCCGGAUUUAUUGGGUUUAAAGGGUGCGUAGGCGGCCUUUUAAGUCAGCGGUGAAAGUCUGUGGCUCAACCAUAGAAUUGCAGUUGAUACGGGGGGGCUUGAGUAUGUUAGAGGCAGGCGGAAUGCGUGGUGUAGCGGUGAAAUGCUUAGAUAUCACGAAGAACCCCGAUUGCGAAGGCAGCCUGCUAAGCCAUGACUGACGCUGAUGCACGAAAGCGUGGGGAUCAAACAGGAUUAGAUACCCCGGUAGUC
rnacentral:rRNA from 1 species